AAAAAUAAUACCUUAUAAAGAAAUAUGAAAACAACUAGACAUAACCAACACGACCUUAAUUGUCAUUGAUGUAGGACCACCUGACAUGGUUAAACAGCCCUGGCUUAACGUUCCAGACACUGCUGCCAAUACUUGCGGCUGUUAGUUCCUGAUUUCUGCUUAAGGCUUUGCAGUUCUGCUUAUAGUCCUGUGAUCAGAGACACUUCCUCCUGUGGCAGCUGAAUUCCACGUUUCCCGAAACAGGAUUUCCCUAUUUUGUAGAGAACUUCCAUGAUUGAAUCUUCCUGCUUCUGGAAAUAAAAUGGGUAGUCCCUUGCAUACAAAGCUUGGAGGGUGUCUCUCAUUCUUCUCUUCUUCUGCUUUUUCUCAUCUACCUGAGAAUAAUUUUAAAUGGAUCGAAGGAAUGAAUGUCAGCCACCAAACUGAGAAGUUGACUUGCCUUUAAUCACCUGUAACUUUGUUAGAAUAAUAAAUUCUGUA
rnacentral:lncRNA from 1 species